GAUCAUGGCUCAGGACGAACGCUGGCGGCGUGCUUAACACAUGCAAGUCGAACGGAGCACCCUUGAUUGAGGUUUCGGCCAAAUGAUAGGAAUGCUUAGCGGCGGACUGGUGAGUAACGCGUGAGGAACCUGCCUUUCAGAGGGGGACAACAGUUGGAAACGACUGCUAAUACCGCAUGACGCAUUUUGAUCGUAUGGUCGAAAUGCCAAAGAUUUAUCGCUGAAAGAUGGCCCCGCG
rnacentral:rRNA from 1 species